GGAGAGCUGCCCGAGAGGCCGAAGGGAACAGUUUGCUAAACUGUCGUAGGAAUUUCCUACCGAGGGUUCGAAUCCCUCGCUCUCCG
rnacentral:tRNA from 3 species